rnacentral:rRNA from 1 species
GACGAACGCUGGCGGCGUGCUUAACACAUGCAAGUCGAGCGGGAAACUUCGGUUUCCAGCGGCGGACGGGUGAGUAACACGUGGGUAACCUGCCUCACAAUGAGGGAUAGCCUUCCGAAAGGAAGAUUAAUACCUCAUAACACAAGAGAAACGCAUGUUUCUCUUGCCAAAGAAUUUCGUUGUGAGAUGGGCCCGCGGCGCAUUAGCUUGUUGGUGAGGUAACGGCUCACCAAGGCUUCGAUGCGUAGCCGACCUGAGAGGGUGAUCGGCCACAAUGGAACUGAGACACGGUCCAGACUCCUACGGGAGGCAGCAGUGGGGAAUAUUGCACAAUGGAGGAAACUCUGAUGCAGCAACGCCGCGUGAGUGAUGAAGGUCUUCGGAUUGUAAAGCUCUGUCUUCUGGGACGAUAAUGACGGUACCAGAGGAGGAAGCCACGGCUAACUACGUGCCAGCCGCCGCCGUAA